GUUUCCUCAGUUGGAGGGAGUGAGAGCUGCUCAUCAAGGACUUCUCUGUCCGGUUGGAGGUUAACUCUGUCUCUUGCUCUCUCGUUUCUGCCUGGACCAAGACUCUGUGCACCAAGUUGACCGUAACGGACAUCUUUGCUGCCUCCAAGAACACAACUGAGAAGGAAACCUUCUGCAGGGCUGCGACUGUGCUCCGGCAGUUCUACAGCCACCAUGAGAAGGACACUCGCUGCCUGGGUGCGACUGCACAGCAGUUCCACAGGCACAAGCAGCUGAUCCGAUUCCUGAAACGGCUCGACAGGAAC
rnacentral:sRNA from 1 species